rnacentral:lncRNA from 1 species
UCUACGCAUUUAAAUAUAAACGUGUUUAUAUGUAUCGAAAGAGAUUGUGUGUGUCUGAAUAUAAAUAUAUAUUCUGUUUAAAACAUAUAGUGACAAUACAUGUCUGUAUUAUAAUAUAUGUGUGUGUAUUAAUAUAUGUACAUGUAUUAUGCAUGUGAAAUGUAUAACCAAUGUGUGUACGUGUGGAAUUUGGGUACACUGCACUUACUUUGUGAUCUAGUAUAAAUAUAUGAUGCACUGUACUUGCUGUGUAAUCUAAUACAAUUGCGUGAGGAAUCUAAGGAUCUUGUGCUUGCUGUGUGAUCUGGUACAAGAUAAUUUAGAAAGUAAUUUGAAAUGUAUAGCUCUU